GCCCCCCUAGCUCAGUUGGUAGAGCGUUUCCAUGGUAAGGAAGAGGUCAACGGUUCGAUUCCGUUGGGGGGCUC
rnacentral:tRNA from 2 species